rnacentral:rRNA from 1 species
GACGAACGCUGGCGGCGUGCUUAACACAUGCAAGUCGAACGGAAAGGCCCUGCUUUUGUGGGGUGCUCGAGUGGCGAACGGGUGAGUAACACGUGAGUAACCUGCCCUUGACUUUGGGAUAACUUCAGGAAACUGGGGCUAAUACCGGAUAGGAGCUCCUGCUGCAUGGUGGGGGUUGGAAAGUUUCGGCGGUUGGGGAUGGACUCGCGGCUUAUCAGCUUGUUGGUGGGGUAGUGGCUUACCAAGGCUGUGACGGGUAGCCGGCCUGAGAGGGUGACCGGCCACAUUGGGACGGAGAUACGGCACAGACUCCUACGGGAGGCAGCAGUGGGGAAGAGUGCACAAGGGGCGGAAGCCUGAUGCAGCAACGCCGCGUGCGGGAUGACGGCCUUCGGGUUGUAAACCGCUGUCGCCUGUGACGAAGCGUGAGUGACGGUAAUGGGUAAAGAAGCACCGGCUAACUACGUG